AAAGAUCUCCAUUUUGUUCUCUUUGGCGGCACUUAUGGCAAUAAGCAGUAAUUGCAGGUGUGUUUUUGGAUCUCACUUUUGA